rnacentral:rRNA from 1 species
ACGAAGAGCUUGCUCUUUGGUGGCGAGUGGCGAACGGGUGAGUAAUGUAUCGGGAACGUACCCAGUAGCGGGGGAUAACUGGCCGAAAGGUCAGCUAAUACCGCAUACGCCCUACGGGGGAAAGGGGGGGAUCUUAGGACCUCUCACUAUUGGAGCGGCCGAUAUCGGAUUAGCUGGUUGGUGGGGUAAAGGCCUACCAAGGCGACGAUCCGUAGCUGGUUUGAGAGGACGACCAGCCACACUGGGACUAAGACACGGCCCAGACUCCUACGGGAGGCAGCAGUGGGGAAUUUUGGACAAUGGGGGCAACCCUGAUCCAGCCAUCCCGCGUGUGCGAUGAAGGCCUUCGGGUUGUAAAGCACUUUUGGCAGGGAAGAAACGGCCUGAGUUAAUACCUUGGGCUAAUGACGGUACCUGCAGAAUAAGCACCGGCUAACUACGUGCCAGCAGCCGCGGUAAUACGUAGGGUGCAAGCGUUAAUCGGAAUUACUGGGCGUAAAGCGUGCGCAGGCGGUUCGGAAAGAAAGGUGUGAAAUCCCAGGGCUUAACCUUGGAACUGCACUUUUAACUACCGGGCUAGAGUACGUCAGAGGGGGGUAGAAUUCCACGUGUAGCAGUGAAAUGCGUAGAGAUGUGGAGGAAUACCGAUGGCGAAGGCAGCCCCCUGGGAUGAUACUGACGCUCAUGCACGAAAGCGUGGGGAGCAAACAGGAUUAGAUACCCUGGUAGUCCACGCCCUAAACGAUGUCAACUAGCUGUUGGGGUUUAUUAACCUUAGUAGCGCAGCU